rnacentral:rRNA from 1 species
GACUGAGUGGCGGACGGGUGAGUAACGCGUGGGUAACCUACCUCAUACAGGGGGAUAACAGUUAGAAAUGACUGCUAAUACCGCAUAAGCGCACAGUAUUGCAUGAUACAGUGUGAAAAACUCCGGUGGUAUGAGAUGGACCCGCGUCUGAUUAGCUAGUUGGUAAGGUAACGGCUUACCAAGGCGACGAUCAGUAGCCGGCCUGAGAGGGUGAACGGCCACAUUGGAACUGAGACACGGUCCGAACUCCUACGGGAGGCAGCAGUGGGGAAUAUUGCACAAUGGGGGAAACCCUGAUGCAGCGACGCCGCGUGAGUGAUGAAGUAUUUCGGUAUGUAAAGCUCUAUCAGCAGGGAAGAUAAUGACGGUACCUGACUAAGAAGCUCCGGCUAAAUACGUGCCAGCAGCCGCGGUAAUACGUAUGGAGCAAGCGUUAUCCGGAUUUACUGGGUGUAAAGGGUGCGUAGGUGGUAUGGUAAGUCAGAAGUGAAAACCCGGGGCUCAACCCCGUGGAUUGCUUUUGAAACUAUCAAACUAGAGUACAGGAGAGGUAAGCGGAAUUCCUAGUGUAGCGGUGAAAUGCGUAGAUAUUAGGAGGAACACCAGUGGCGAAGGCGGCUUACUGGACUGAAACUGACGCUGAGACACGAAAGUGUGGGGAGCAAACAGGAUUAGAUACCCUGGUAGUCCACACAGUAAACGAUGAAUGCUAGGUGUGGGGGAGCAAUCCUCCGUGCCGGAGUUAACACAAUAAGCAUUCCACCUGGGGAGUACGGCCGCAAGGUUGAAACUCAAAGGAAUUGACGGGAGCCCGCACAAGCAGUGGAGUAUGUGGUUUAAUUCGACGCAACGCGAAGAACCUUACCAGGAAUUGACAUCCAAGGAACCCGGCGUAAUGGCUGGGGUGCCCUUCGGGGAAUCUUGAGACAGGUGGUGCAUGGUUGUCGUCAGCUCGUGUCGUGAGAUGUUGGGUUAAGUCCCGCAACGAGCGCAACCCCUACCGUCAGUUACUACAUUAAGUUGAGGACUCUGGCGGGACUGCCGUUGACAAAACGGAGGAAGGUGGGGAUGACGUCAAAUCAUCAUGCCCCUUACAUUCUGGGCUACACACGUGCUACAAUGGGUGGUACAGAGGGCAGCCAAGUCGUGAGGCGGAGCUAAUCCCUUAAAGCCAUUCUCAGUUCGGAUUGUAGGCUGAAACUCGCCUACAUGAAGCUGGAGUUACUAGUAAUCGCAGAUCAGAAUGCUGCGGUGAAUGCAUUCCCGGGUCUUGCACACACCGCCCGUCA